rnacentral:rRNA from 1 species
GAUGAACGCUGGCGGCGUGCCUAAUACAUGCAAGUCGAGCGAACGGACGAGAAGCUUGCUUCUCUGAUGUUAGCGGCGGACGGGUGAGUAACACGUGGAUAACCUACCUAUAAGACUGGGAUAACUUCGGGAAACCGGAGCUAAUACCGGAUAAUAUUUUGAACCGCAUGGUUCAAAAGUGAAAGACGGUCUUGCUGUCACUUAUAGAUGGAUCCGCGCUGCAUUAGCUAGUUGGUAAGGUAACGGCUUACCAAGGCAACGAUGCAUAGCCGACCUGAGAGGUGAAUCGUCCACACGGGAACGGUGACCGGUCCCAGACUCUUCGGGGGGCCAGAGGUAGGAAUUCUUCCGCAAGGGGCGAAGGCCCACGGGGGCAACGCCGCGUAUUGCAGGAGGGUCUUCGGUUCGUAAAACUCUUUAUUAGGGAAGAACAUAUGUGUAAGUAACUGUGCACAUCUUGACGGUACCUAAUCAGAAAGCCACGGCUAACUACGUG